AAAAAAUCCCCUAGCCCAGUUUUUGGGCAGAUGCCAGACUUUUAUUCUGAAGCGUGGGCCACAACCUAUGAGGUAAUCUUUGGAGCUUCAUUCUGAGGCGGAAUCCCAUUGGCCAGUUGGGGAAGCCCCUCCCAGGAUUCCUGGCGCUCCGCCUUCCCUGAAGCCUAUAAAAGCGCAGGUCCCCGCCUCGGCAGCCACGGGACACCUGCAUCUGCCAACAAGACUGGAAGCAGAAAGGGACAGAGACGGCGAAGUUUGACGGUCUGGAAAGCAGAGACCAGCAGGGCUGACUGCUUGGGAGCACGAGGGACAGCUCUCCACCGACCGAAGGAGGAGAAUGCUAUUUAUUUCAGCACCAAAUAUCCGGACAGCGCCUCUCGGGAGGUCCGAGAAGAGAACCGCGAUCUGUUUCAGCACCGGGGCUCAGGACAGUUCCCAGCGGGCUCCGUUUCGUCUCCAGAACCCUGGACAGCUCCUCCAGCCUCAGGGCUUUUGCCUCUGCUGUUCCUGCAGCUUGGAAUGCACUCCCUCCACCUCCAACCAGAGCUCCCCACAACUGACCCUGCCUUCUUCUGCAAGCUCCAUUUCAUCAAGGGAAACGAUCCUUAUUGCCUCACCAUUUCCCACGUGAAGUCUGUAUUGACAUUCUCAUAGACCUGGGAUAUUGUGUCUGCAGCACAUAGUCCAAUUAUUUUCAUGUUAUCUACUGACAGGUCUAUUUGUCUCCCUGUUACACUGUGAGCUCCGUGAGGGCAGAAACAAUGUUAGUAUUUUCACUGCUGUGUCCCCAGCGCCUGGUCCGGGGCCCGGCACACAGCAGGCAUAUAAUAAGCAUGUGUUGAAUCAAUAAAGGCAUCAAAGAAUAAACCAAUACAUCAAUCAAUAAAUGAAUGAAUGGCCUCAGCACACACAGGAAGAUCCUUCUUCUAGGUCUCCCCCAGAGAGAUACUGGAGGGCAAUGGUUGCUGGAGGUGUUUAUUGGGGAAGCAUAAUUGAAUUUGUGGACACUUAAGGGCCGGCCAGCCAACUCACAGCCCCAAGAGAGAGAGCCAGGCUCAUUUAAUUAGCAAUUACAAGGCACUGAUUCCUCAUUAGCUCUGGCAACCCUCGUCUCCCUCCUCAGCCCCAGACAAAUGAAAUCUUUCUCUCUCUCCCAGGAGUACUGCCUCAGUGGGUCCAUUAACAAGCAGAGAAAAUGAGAUUAGAAGACACCUAAAUGCCAGAGGCACUUUAUGAAUGGGCUGAGCAGAGGGAGGUUCAAUGUCUGGGUUAGGUCUAAUUGUGGGAGGUUUCCUGGUCUAUUUAGAAUUGCCCCCUGGGAAUGCAAGGUCUUUCAGAAAGGAAAAGGCACACAGAUAUUGCCUUCUGGGGUCCUCAAUGGAGGAGGACAUUCUGCUAUGGGUGUCUCCCAGUCACCCCAAAUUAAUCAUUUCAAAGUGAACACUCAAUCUGCCCAGCCCCUAGCUUCCUCCCCUGACAUGCCCAUGAAUAUGACAGUCCCUCUACAUGCCCAAGAUCCUCCCCUCCUCAUCCACUCCCCAUGAUCCCCAAGAUGAGUCACUGUGCUCAAAUCCAUCCUCUCUCCUCCAGCCCUCUGCCUCCAUGACCUCCCUCCAGCCCUCUGCCUCCAUGACCUCCGCCUCCCUGCAUGUCCGGAUCUCCUCACUGUCUCCCCUCUGAGCAUACACACACAUACAGCCUGUUCAUUCUCUACAUGCAGCGAGGGGACUUUCCAGAACACACAUCUGACCAAGUUCCACUCCUGCCUGUCACCCUUCCAAGAGCCCCACUGACUGCAGAAUAACGUUCAAAUAUCCGGUUGGGCGUGGUGGCUCAUGCCUGCAGUCCCAGCACUUUGGGAGGCCAAGGUGGGUGGAUCACUUGCACAGGACCACAGGCGUGUGCCACCACACCCAGCUAAUUUUUAUAUUUUUGGUAGAGACGGAGUUUCACCAUGUUGGCCAGGCUGACCUCAAGUGAUCCACCCGCCUCAACCUCCCAAAGUGCUGGGAUUACAGGCAUGAGUCACUGCACCGGUCUAAUUUUUUCAGAGUCUCACUCUUGCCCAGGCUGGAGUGCAGUAGCAUGAUCUCGGUUCACUGCAACCUCUGCCUCCUGGUUUCAAGCGAUUCUCUUGGCUCAGCCUCCUGAGCAGCUGGGAUUACAGGCACGUGCCACCACACUUAGCUAAUUUUUGUAUUUUUAGUAGAGAUGGGGGUCUCACCAUGCUGGCACAGUUGGUCUUGAACUCCUGACCUCAAGUGAUCCACCCACCUCGGCUUCCCAAAGUGCUGGGAUUACAGACGUGAGCCACCGCGCCCGGCCAGCCUUUAUUGAUUCUUUUUAAAGCCACACUAACCUUUUAUUUUCCCCCAAAGACCCCUGGGAGCCCUCAGUUUUUCCUGGCAGUUUCAUCUUUGUACCCCUGACCUCCCCACACACACGCCUAGCUCAGUGCUGGCAUCCAAUAUUCACUUUGGGUAUAAAUGCUUGUGCCUGAGCCUAUCACCUUCAUCACACAGAAAAUCCUGGAGGCCACACACCCCUGUAAAGACGAGCCAUUACCCACAGAGGUCCAACCAACUUACCACCCUCUCCCAGCCACCCCCAAGGACCCAGCUUGCAGCUGCCUGCUCAAUGGCUUUAGAAACUAAAAAAGGUGAAUGAGUUUCCAUCACUGCCCUCCUGGGCUUUGCCGUUAUGGCUGGUUAACUUGACAGAAGAACACAUUAUACUUCAUUUUUUGCUGUUGUCUUGUUGGAAAAAAAAGUGACAGCUGGGUGCAGUGGUGCACACUGUAGUCACAGCUACUCAGGAGAAUUGCUUGAGCACAGGAAUUGGAGGCUACACUGAGCAAUGAUCGCCUCACUGCACUCCAGCCUGAACGACAGAGCAAGACCCUCUUAAAAAAUACGUGAGAGAGGGUGCGUAUGAUGGCUCAUGCCUGUAAUCCCAGCAGUUUG
rnacentral:lncRNA from 10 species